rnacentral:lncRNA from 1 species
UUCUCAAGACCCCUGCUUUGCAUGUUAUCUGCUGAUAAACACAGCGCUUUGUAUCGAUAAACCACCCCCCUUUCUCACUGCAAUUACCCAUCCUUAUUUCAUUCGGGAAGUGCAAGGAGGGACCUAACCCUGUCUUGCUGGAAGACUGUUUUGCAAUGGCUGUGCACUCAGCUGCACUGUUUUCCAGCAGCCCCUCAAAACUGUCGUUUCUCCCCAUGUCUUCAGGGUGUCUGGCUGUGCUGCUGCUGCAAUUCCAACAGAUGUUAAUUCUAUGCUUCACGAAGCCUGAUGGAUGCUGCUGUGUUAUGACAUCCGAGCAGGCUCCUCCAUCAGACCCCAAGUCUAACCCCAACCACCCCAUCAUGCCCAUGGAACUACACCCCUUGGUGCCACAUCCCCAUGGUUCCUGAACACCACCAGGGAUGCUGACCCCAACACCCCCUGGGCGGCUGUGCCAGUGAAGAAAGGGAAUCACCUUUGUUUCUCUGACUGACCCACUUGAGGAACUCAAGCAAGAGUUUGGGCAGCGAAAUCCUUCAGG